UGCGUAGGCGGACUAAUAAGUCAGUGGUGAAAUCUCUCGGCUCAACCGGGAAACUGCCAUUGAUACUGUUAGUCUUGAGUUCGGUUGAGGUAGGCGGAAUGUGUAAUGUAGCGGUGAAAUGCUUAGAUAUUACACAGAACACCAAUUGCGUAGGCAGCUUACUAGACCGACACUGACGCUGAGGCACGAGAGCGUGGGUAGCGAACAGGAUUAGAUACCCUGGUAGUCC
rnacentral:rRNA from 1 species